GUGCUUGCUUCCACACACAUAUACUAAAACUGGAAGGACAGAAGAUUAGCGUGGCCCCUGUGUGAGGGUGACACACAAAUUCAUGAAGUAUUCCUCAUUUUU
ensembl:snRNA U6 U6 spliceosomal RNA